GUCUUUGUUGCAAUCCUGUGUGUUUUAUGCACUUAGAAACAUUUUUUCCUGGGCUGGAGAGAUGGCUCAGCUGUUAAUGGCUAGGCUCACAACCAAAAAUA
rnacentral:miRNA from 14 species